UUUACAUUGGAUCUUGCAGCAUUGAAAACAACAUUAGACAACCAUUGAAACUCAACACAGUUGGAGCAUUUGAGGGUUGAUUCUUCCAUGGACAACUGUUAUACACAUGGCUCUUGUCACCACAAGCAAAUCAGGAAUGAGAGUUGGGAGUUGAAGUGUUAUUGCUCUUUUUUGGUUUGUGGCAUCUGCAAACCACUCAAAGUAUGAGCAGAUUGAGCAUCGUAAGAACUUCUCUCCAUCAUGAUCAUCAGUUUGAGCUUUCAACAACUUCCUCACUCUAUUGCAAGGUAUAUAAAGAAAAUGAAAUCAGACCGUUGGGAACAGUGUGAUUUUCUGGCCACAAAAUCUUUGCCACGUGUCCGGGUUCUCCACGUGUCAGAGUCGUCACGUCAGCGAGUUGGAACUAGGAUGAGUUAACUGCAGUUAAAGAAGCUUGAGUUAAAAAAAAGAGGG